AAUAGAUACCCCGGUAGUCCACGCCGUAAACGAUGAGUGCUAGGUGUUAGGGGGUCCAACCCUUAGUGCCGAAGUUAACACAUUAAGCACUCCGCCUGGGGAGUACGGUCGCAAGACUGAAACUCAAAGGAAUUGACGGGGGCCCGCACAAGCGGUGGAGCAUGUGGUUUAAUUCGAAGCAACGCGAAGAACCUUACCAGGGCUUGACAUCCCUCUGACCGUUCUAGAGAUAGAGCUUCCCUUCGGGGCAGAGGUGACAGGUGGUGCAUGGUUGUCGUCAGCUCGUGUCGUGAGAUGUUGGGUUAAGUCCCGCAACGAGCGCAACCCUUGUCCUUAGUUGCCAGCAUUCAGUUGGGCACUCUAGGGAGACUGCCGGCGACAAACCGGAGGAAGGUGGGGAUGACGUCAAAUCAUCAUGCCCCUUAUGUCCUGGGCUACACACGUGCUACAAUGGCUGGUACAAAGGGUAGCGAAGCAGUGAUGUGAAGCCAAUCCCAAAAAGCCAGUCACAGUUCGGAUUGUAGG
rnacentral:rRNA from 1 species